GCCGGGGUGGCGAAACUGGUUAGACGCGAGGGACUUAAAAUCCCUUGGCCGAAAGGCCAUCUGGGUUCGACUCCCAGCCCCGGCA
rnacentral:tRNA from 3 species